rnacentral:rRNA from 1 species
GUGGGGAAUAUUGGACAAUGGGCGAAAGCCUGAUCCAGCCAUGCCGCGUGUGUGAAGAAGGUCUUCGGAUUGUAAAGCACUUUAAGUUGGGAGGAAGGGCAGUAAGUUAAUACCUUGCUGUUUUGACGUUACCGACAGAAUAAGCACCGGCUAACUUCGUGCCAGCAGCCGCGGUAAUACGAAGGGUGCAAGCGUUAAUCGGAAUUACUGGGCGUAAAGCGCGCGUAGGUGGUUUUGUAAGUUGGAGGUGAAAUCCCCGGGCUCAACCUGGGAACUGCCUCCAAAACUGCAUGACUAGAGUACAGUAGAGGGUAGUGGAAUUUCCUGUGUAGCGGUGAAAUGCGUAGAUAUAGGAAGGAACACCAGUGGCGAAGGCGACUACCUGGACUGAUACUGACACUGAGGUGCGAAAGCGUGGGGAGCAAACAGGAUUAGAUACCCCAGUAGUCC